GACAGAGGGUGCAAACGUUGUUCGGAUUUACUGGGCGUAAAGCGCGUGUAGGCGGCUUGGCAAGUCGGAUGUGAAAGCCCAAGGCUCAACCGUGGAAGCGCAUCCGAAACGGCCUCGCUCGAGUCUCGGAGAGGAAGGUGGAAUGCUUGGUGUAGAGGUGAAAUUCGUAGAUAUCAAGCAGAACACCUGCGGCGAAGGCGGCCUUCUGGACGAUGACUGACGCUGAGACGCGAAAGCGUGGGGAGCAAACAGG
rnacentral:rRNA from 1 species